rnacentral:rRNA from 1 species
CAGCAGCCACGGUAAUACGGAGGGUGCGAGCGUUGUCCGGAAUCACUGGGCGUAAAGGGCGCGUAGGCGGCUACUUAAGCGUGUGGUGAAAGUCCGGGGCUCAACCCCGGAUCGGCCGUGCGAACUGAGUGGCUCGAGCACUGUAGAGGCAGGUGGAAUUCCGGGUGUAGCGGUGUAAUGCGUAGAGAUCCGGAAGAACACCGGUGGCGAAGGCGGCCUGCUGGGCAGUGGCUGACGCUGAGGCGCGACAGCGUGGGGAGCAAACAGGAUUAGAUACCCGAGUAGUCCCUGUCUCUUAUAC